AAGCUUCAUCCCCAUGGAGACCUUGGAUUUCCGCUCUGGGAUGACCGGGUGUGGAUUUUCCAGGGAGCCAUGUAAGGGAAUUUAUUUGGCUGAUGGAUGCAGAGAACUGCUGUUCAGAGCUUUUCCCCUUUCUCUUUCAAUUUGCAGCACUUUUUAUGAAGACUGGUCUUUUGUGAUGGAUGAAGAAAGGUCUAGCAUGCUUCCCACCAUGGCAGCUGGUAAGCCCGGCUCAGGCAAGGAUUGAUGAGUCCUUGAAGUGUGGUGAGCACAGUCGGCUACCUGGGAGGGAAUUUAUAACUCCAGGGGAUGCUGCGAUUUCCCUGUCCCUUGCCGACUUAAUGGGUCACUGGCCACUGCCCUUCCUUUGGUGGAAUUGAUUACUGAGCCCAUUUGUCUUGAAUUGGAUACCCUGGUAGGGAAAGCCUGGGGGUGGGGGCUUUGGCCGUGGCUUUACAAGUAUAACAUGAAGACCUGGGGAUUUGGAGGCAGGAGACCUGCCUUUGAAGCCUGGCCCUACCCCUUCCUGGCUGGUGGCCUGGGGCAGAUCCUGUGAGCUCUGUCACCCUUACUGCCUGCUCCUCUGCAAGGCAGGGGUCUUGAUAGCAUGGGAAUUGUUUUCAUAGUGCCGUGAGAGAAUCACACGUGACGAGAGUAACAUGUGAUUUAUCAGCGUGAGAGCCCUGGAUUGAUGUUAGUUGGUGAAUCGUUAGAUUAUCAUUUGAUUUUCACUCAAAGGGUGAGCCCAACAGAAGUGGGUAACUUGCUUCUUUCUUUAAAAUCCUUCCUUGCCUCCCUCCUUUUUUUUUUUUUUUUUCCCUGAAGGUUCACACUAAGGCCCACAUAUUGAGAGUUAAUGUUAGUCGUGUCCACUGAGGAGGAGAAGUCAGGCUCUGACCGUGAAUUCUGGGUAGGCCAGAAUUCUGCAAGCUUUUACCUAAAGUAAUUGUGGUAAUGAUACUGGUUGGCGCACAUUUUUGGUUGCGUACUGAGCUGAGUGUUCUUGGUGGGUGAUUGUCUUUGACACCCUGUGAAAGCGAUGCUGUUGGCCCCGUUUUACAGAUAAGGAAGCUGAAGCUCAGGUGGUGGAUGGCCUGACCAAGGUCUCCUAGAACGUGGUAGGAUUCACCGCAGGCCCUCUGACCCCAGGGCUUACAUCUUAACCUCCCCCUAGGCUGACCUCCUGUCUUCCACAGAUAGGGAGAGGAUUUGGAAAGACUCCCCUCCUGCCAUCGCUGGUGUCUACUGACCCCAUUUUGUGGGAGGUUUUUUAAUCCAUGUUUAAGAUCAGCCGGUCCCCUCUUGCGUGUUCUGCCGGGCCCCACGUGUUCAUCGUGGUGGGGGCGUGACUCUCCCAUGGCAGACACUCCAGACUUUUCCCUUUUUUGGGGCAGGUCUGAACUCUAUCCUCUUCGCAAUUAACAUCGACAACAAGGACUUAAAUGGGCAGAGUAAGUUUGCUCCUACCGUCUCAGACCUCUUGAAGGAGUCCACGCAGAACGUGACCUCCUUGCUGAAGGAAUCCACGCAAGGAGUGAGCAGCCUUUUCAGGGAGAUCACAGCGUCCUCUGCUGUCUCCAUCCUUAUCAAACCCGAGCAGGACACGGAGCCCCUGCCCGUCGUGUCCAAGCACGUCAGCACCGGUGAGCAGGAUGGGGUGUGCGCGGUGGAACAGGGGGUUUGGGUGAAAGGACGACUGGCCGCGGCCAAGAGGGAUGCAUCUGGUGGUCUGAAAGUCCCAAGGGGAAUGAAAUCUAUGUUCCCUUCAUUUUUAGUUCACGUUUGUGUUUAUUUUUCUUCUGCUUACUCACUCUGGAAGGGGCUGAGAGCCCUGCUGAGCUGUGGAGAUGAUAUGGUGGGAGAGCAGACAGCUCACCAAGAGCACACUGAAUGUGAGGGUGUGUGAGUCGCAUGAAAACAGAAGAGCUGGAACUUGAUGAAUUUAUUCCUUCCUUCGUUCAGGUGUUGAUUCACUGCGUUCUGUGUGCUCAGCGGGGAACUAGGAAGAUUGCUAACAUUUAGACCGCAGUCUCUUUUGGGCUGGGUAGGGGUACCCAUUUGAUGGCAAAUUAUACAAAUAAGUGAGUAUCCUCUUGAUAAAUGGGAUAAAAGCCAAGCAGGGAGUGCUAUCAAGAAUGUGUACUCUUGCCGGGGGGGAGGGGGAGGUGACAGGUGCAGGCCAAGGGGGAGGGAGGAGUUGGUCAGCUUUGACUCUAGGCUGUGGGGAGGCAAAGUUGAUUUAGUUGAGAUCAGUUUUAUGAGAAGUCUGUGAUACGCUUUGAGCCUUCCGGGGCGUCCAGAAUGUUGCUACAGCAAAGUUGGAGAUGUGGGGUUUAAGUACGUAGUCCUAGUAUUCUCAAACCUCUUAAACAAGGCAGUGAUCAUGGGCAUCUGUUUGGAAUUAUUACUGACGGUGAAGAUUCAGAACCCAUGGGGUCUUUGGUGUACAUUGGCUUUUUCUGUCUGGUCCUCCCCUUCUCUGGCAGAGACCCCCAGCAAAUGACAGGAAAUAGGACCGUUGGGGGCUUUGUGAAGCAAAGACCCUGGAAGUUGUAUACCCCAAGGAGCGUUCUUUCCAUCCAUUUUGGGGACUCUGCUUUUGACACUGUCUCAGCGUUUGAUACACUGGUGAAGCAUCCCCAUGUGGUUCAGACGGGAAGGAGUGUCUGGAGUCAGCUUGAAGUGUCUCACACCCAAGUUGGACGAUUAAGAUGGGUGAACAUACCGGUUCACAUAAGUACUAGUCACCAAGACAGCCUUGAUUUCUGUUUCAGGUAGUCUUUGCUGUGUAACAAACAGCUCCAAAGUGCAGUGGCUUGAAACAACCACAAUUUAUUAUUUUUUUGAUGACUGUGCAUUGAUGGGAUAGUUCUGCUGGUGUCGCUUGGGCUUCCUCAUGGGGCUGUCCCGAGCUGGUGGCUGAGCCGGAAGAUCUAAGACGGUCUCACUCAUGUGCCGGGGAAUAGUGCCCACUGUUGGCUGGGGCAUCUGUUUUUCUACACGUGGCCUUCUCUGCUCUGAUACGCGAGACUGGCUUCCUUCCCCGGUAGUUUCAGGGCAGCAUUCGAGGGGGUGCAGCACCUACUGAUGGCUGGGCUCCAGAGUUCCCCGUUACUUGUGCCACAUGCUGCAGGGAAGAUGUGAGCACUGAGCCAGCCCGUGCUCAAGGGGGUGGGGAAAUAGACACACCCUCAGAAGGAGGAGCAGCCGAGUCCCAUUGUAAAGGGGACCAUUGACCACCACCCCAAACGGCUGUUCUUGGUCUCAUCAGUCAGCCAGGAGAGUACUUUCCAAAGUGAAAGUUGUCUCAGGAGUGGGAGCACCCUCUGAAUCAAAGUGCUCAGAAGGGACAAUUGUAAUGUGUGCUCUGUGGUGUGUUUGUUUACCCCGGAAGUGUAGUCCCACAUCCAUUUUGUUCAGUCUCCUGUAGACAGGUUUUUCUCCUGCGAGGAUUAAAAAAAAUCUGAAUGUAUCUGAAGUGUAUUUUUCCGUUGACCAGCGGAGGAAUUUCCACGAUGUAGACGCCACAUGGCUCAAUUGUGGCUUUAUCUUGCCUACUUCUUGUGACACCAUAUGUUCUUUUACCAGAUGCCAAAUGUAAAAAGGAGCGGAAGAAGAAGAAAAAGGUGACCAACAUCAUCUCGUUUGAUGAUGACGAAGAGGAGAACUCUGGUGACGUUUUUAAGAAGAUACCCGGGGCCGGGGAGAGUUCAGAGGAGAACUCCGACCGCUCCUCGGUCAACAUCUUGUCGGCCUUUGAAAGCCCCUUCGGGCCAAAUUCCAACGGAAGUCAGAGCAGCAACUCAUGGAAAAUUGAUUCUCUGUCUUUGAACGGGGAGUUUGGGUACCAGAAGCUCGACGUGAAAAGCAUCGAUGACGAGGAUGUGGAUAACAAUGAGGAUGAUGUGUACGGAGGGAGCAUGUCCGGAAGGAAGUGCCUGGGACACUCGGGAUCGCCUGAGAAGUAAGUUCCACUUGGAGCUUUUAGCGUAGGGUUGGCGCGUUAACGGCUUUCUCUUUCUGCAGCAUCGGGUGAAGUGA
rnacentral:lncRNA from 1 species